UGGUCGAUUUGCGUUCUGGCGGGAACGGUACGAGGCAGUUGCCGCUUCAAAUAAUAAUCAGUCACGUGAUGGAUACAGUAGGCUGCUCUCUACUACGCCCGCACUUGAUUAUAUUUAUAACAGUGGGGAAGAUGGUUUGUUUGUAUAUAAUGGCGAUAGAGGUUAGUUUCACUACAUAUCUAUAACGGUAUGCGUGUAGUAUACAAGAAACAGAAACUGACGAACGUUGGUUCGUUUUAAUCACGAAUCCUAUAACCUUAUCGAGAGCGCCAGAUGUGGGGACAAUGAGGUACGUAUUUUCACCGAAGAGUUAUGAGACCAGGUCACAUACAUACCGCAACGCAGAUGGCAAGAUAGUACCUGCAGACUUCGCAUUUGUUUGUUCGCCACUGUAUCCAUUGUUGUCUGCAUUCUUUAGUUUCGUCUUAUCUCCACGAAAUCGUUUCGAACUCAAAUUUGUUCACUAGAAAAAUUAUAACAUUAACUGCAAACCGUUUUCAAAGAGUUGCAUUAUCUGUGACUGUUUCAAAGGUGUUACGAAAGUGAAAGUAUAUACUUCGCCAGAAGCAGAUGUUUAUCAAAUCAAAAAGUGCAAGUUUUUCAUGAGUGAAAAGUGAAAUUUAUAAUUUUUUAAAACACAAAUGAUAAACGGAUCUAAUGUCUUUAAAUAAUUGUUGAAAUACAAUUUCAACGUGAGUUUAAACUAGAUUUUGAAUAAAAUACUCUGUGGAUAGUAGUUUUUUAAGUUGGCACUUAGAUGCUAUUACAUUCAUACUCCCUAUCUCAUACGUUCAACAAUAUACGUAAUUGAUGACUGUCACAAAAGACCUUUCUUUGGAAAAAAUUUGUCCGCAAUGACAAAUUUCAGUGAGCUUCGUAUGUUUAUCACAAACAAGACAAAGGGAAUGCGAUCAAGAAAGCCAAAAUUCUGCAGAAAAGUAAUUUUGUCUCAUGUAUUUGUUGUCAAUCAUUCACUUAAUAGCUAUACUUUGUUCACGUUAAUUACGAAUGUAAUAACAAAAUAUUUGGUGUAUCUAAUUCAAAUAUUGAGAACAUCGUACUAGAUGCUUUGUAUUGAUUAGCCAGAAGUCCUGUUCAUUUCAUUGCGUAGAAAAGUUCCAUUUUAUAAAAAAAACACUUUCACUUUUCGGCUGGAAAACACCUGCUUUCACUUUCAUGACGGUUUAGAAACAAAGCGUCAUAAGCAUUUGCAAUUUACGCAUCACAAUUUAAUCCACGCAGUAAAUAAUUUGUCGUUAUGCAAAUUUCGACUUGUAUGUAUUUAAUAUGUGUGAAAAAAACCCAAAAUAAAUUGAUGUGUUUCACAGACCAGUCCUUAACAUAACUACCAGUUACAAGAUCUUACACCAACCACAACGAAGUUACGUCCCUUGCACCAGGAAUGUAACAUGGCUGUCUUAGGGAUUAUAAAAAAUAUUUAAUAACGAAUUAUAUUAAUGAUGUUCACAAAUGUUUAUUUAUUUUAUUUUACCGUAAUAUUUAGUGGCUUGGAAUAAUUUAAUGUCGUUACUACAUUACUAGCUAUAAUUAGAUAAAAUGGAUACGUUAUUCUUUAAUCCCAGGCCAGCAUUAAUCGAGAAGACUACAAAGUACUGCCCAUCCAGUGUUCCGUUUUUGAGGUAAUAUAUGUCCAGGACCACAUUAUCCAUUAUGUUUGGGUUCUUUUAAGACAGUAGGAUAUGACUUGAAGGAGGUUUAGCCUAUAUUUCGAGUCGAUCUUCGUUAGAUCGUAAUUGUGAAAUGUAUAGUUGGUUAAAAAAAUUCCCUUGAUAUAAUUCAUAAAAUUUACUUUUACGAAUAAAAAUAUAUUCCAUCAGGUUACUUUAAGUUGACUGUGUUCUAUUUACGUUGCUGUAAAAAAACAACAGCAAAUACAAAAAAAAAAACAGAAAAAUACUUUUUCCCCCCGAAACAGAUUUCUUUUGUCGUAAUAGAUAAUACGUGGUGACGUACCGCAAUUGUGAAACCCACCCAUACUAGAAAAAAACUUCAUUGGUUGGCCACUUUAGAAGUAGGAAGGAAAACUUGUAUUAGUUUCGGUUUUUUUAUUCUUUUUCUUUCACUUACACAAUCCAGAAAUAUGGCAACGUAUUUACGUUUAUAUGGUUAAGCAAUGAUUUUAACAUGACAUUUUAUAUUAAAUAUGUCCCGAAUUAAUUUUAAAAACAGUGGAAGAAAUGAAAGGUAUGACUUAUUCUUAAUGAAAACGAAUCCAGAAUUGAUUUGAAUGUUAGAAAUUGAACUACGAUAAAACAAGUAAAAUGGAUGUUGUGUCUCGAAAUUAUGAAUUAAAAUCGUUGAACAAGAGUUGUGGAAAUGUAAACAUAGACGAAUCAGAAGAAUCACAUUCUAUAGCUGUUGAAGUGUUGGCAAAUCUUUUAAGCGGAACUUCAUAUCAAAAUGAAAAUGUUAAGCAGCAAAUAGAUUUACCAAUGUAUCCCACUCUAAAAUUGAACGAUGGAUAUGCAAAGGAAAUGUCUUCGUUUGCUAAUUUACCAUCGGUAAGCAGUUAUUUACAACCAACUGUUACUUCGAAUAAUCCCGUGUUCAAUACCAAAUCUCAGUAUCAACAUCAGCCGCACAUAUCUGAAGCCAACAAAACUUGCCCUUUUGUACUUUCCACCAGUAUUCCAUUAACUACAUCGAAGUCUGACUUAACUUUACCGACCGAGACCGAUACUGAUAUGACAAACGAUUCAAAUUUGCCCUAUCUGAAUCAGGAUAGUAUGAUGAAGAUCCACCCCGAUAAUGUUGAUUCUCUACUGAUUGUUAAACGUACCUCCAACAAUUCAAAAGUUUAUAGAGUGAAAAGAGUGAAAAUAGAUGAAAUUCUAAACAUUCUGAACGAAAGUAGAACGAGGAAGUCUAGUAUUUUGUCGAAUGCGUCUUUAGAUGAUAGCUGCAGCACGAAGUCCGAACUUUUAACGAGAAAGCGGCUGAUGGCCCAAUUUUCAGCCAACACAAAUCAAUCGAGGGAGAAUUCUUUGCUGUUUUUUCAGUUUCCAGGUUUUGGAAUUAACAGUGACUCAAUGGAUGACAGUCAACAUUUAAAGAAUACAAUUGGAUUGUUUUCCCAAAACAGUUUAGAAAACAGGACGAAAAGUUGUUUACCUCUGAAAAAAAGGAAAAUAAAGUCGACUUUUCAGGCAACCAAACCUUUUAAACCACACAAUACAAAUGUCUCUAUUGUUACAGGUGAUAAAGAAAAGUUUAUCCUGAUUUACAAAUCUGAACAAAGUCAACUAUUAACUGACAAUGAUGAAAAACUGAGAAAAGAGAUCGAAAUUGCUCUAAAACAGGAUGAAGAUGGUGACUUGCCUCUACAUAUAGCUGUUGCACACAAGAAUCUAGCAUUAAUUGGAUCUUUCUGCAAGCUGAUUCAACAAGCGGGGAAAACUGUUGAUCGCUUUAAUAAAAAAAAGCUUACUCCUUUGCAUUUGUGUGUGAAAAUGAAUUAUAGUAAGGGUGUGAGGAAGUUAAUAAAGAUGGGUGCUGACAUGAACUUGUCUGAUGGCAAUGGAAAUUCUGCUGUUCAUUUAGCAGUUUCCUAUUCACACUUUGAAUGCUUUGAUGUCAUCCUAAAGACAUGUUCUUCUAUGGAAAAUUGUAAACCAAAUUUAGAUUCCCAUAAUUAUGAAGGUUUAACACCCCUGCAUACAUCUGUCCAAAAGCAGAACAUUGAAAUGGCCAGGAAACUUUUAAAAGCUGGGGCUGAUCCAGAUAGUAAGGAUUACAAGAGUGGCCGGACACCUUUAUUCUUUGCUGUUGAAAACCAAAAUCAAGACAUUAUAAAGUUAUUGCUAGAGAAUAAAGCUUCCAUUGACAUCCAAAAUUUUGCUGGUCAUACUCCUUUUCUUGUUGCUAAUGGUCGUAAAUACCAAGAAAUUUGUAAGUUAUUAGUUGAUCAGGGAGCAGAUGCUCAUGGAAUGGUAUUUGAUGAUUUAGCCUGCAACUACAAGACAUCAAAUGUAAAGUAUCAGUUGAAAAAUAAAUUAGUCGCCAACCAGUCUAGUUGAAAUCAUAACUGAAAAUUUUAUGGCUGUCUUGAGAAUGGUUCUUUCAAGGAAAAUUUGGGAAGUUAUUGGACCCAGCUUGAAAUUUUGGUUAGUGCUUCCUCACCGUUUUCUGAAACAAGCACUGAAGAUAUGCAGAAGAUGCAAAACAUCACCACAGAGGAAUUGAUGUAAGCUUAAAUAAUAAACCACAAUAGGUGAA
rnacentral:misc_RNA from 1 species